rnacentral:rRNA from 1 species
AGAGUUUGAUCCUGGCUCAGAACGAACGUUGGCGGCGUGGAUUAGGCAUGCAAGUCGGGGGAAUCCCGCAAGGGGGAACCGGCGUAAGGGGCAGUAAGGCAUGGGUACCUACCUUUGGGUUCGGGAUAGCCAUCAGAGAUGGUGGGUAAUACCGGAUGAUGUCGUGAGACCAAAGAUUUAUCGCCCGGAGAGGGGCCCAUGUGAUAUUAGCUAGUUGGUGAGGUAAUGGCUCACCAAGGCUCAGAUGUCUAGCGGGUGUGAGAGCACGACCCGCGCCACUCGCACUGAGACACUGGCGAGACACCUACGGGUGGCUGCAGUCGAGGAUCUUCGGCAAUGAGCGCAAGCUUGACCGAGCGACGCCGCGUGAGCGAUGAAGGCCUUCGGGUUGUAAAGCUCUUUAGUGGGGGAGAAAAGCCCGCAAGGGUGUGAUCUAUCCCAAAAAUAAGCACGGGCUAAGUUCGUGCCAGCAGCCGCGGUAAGACGAACCGUGCGAACGUUGUUCGGAAUCACUGGGCUUAAAGGGCGCGUAGGCGGGCUGUCAAGUCUGGGGUGAAAUGCCGCGGCUCAACCGUGGAACUGCCUUAGAUACUGACGGCCUUGAGGAAGGUAGGGGCAUGCGGAACUGUAGGUGGAGCGGUGAAAUGCGUUGAUAUCUACAGGAACUCCGGUGGCGAAAGCGGCGUGCUGGACCUUUUCUGACGCUGAGGCGCGAAAGCUAGGGGAGCAAACGGGAUUAGAUACCCCGGUAGUCCUAGCCCUAAACGAUGGGUACUAGAUAGUACGCUUGAUAUGGGUUUACUGUCGAAGCUAAAGUGCUAAGUACCCCGCCUGGGGAGUAUGGUCGCAAGGCUGAAACUCAAAGGAAUUGACGGGGGCUCACACAAGCGGUGGAGCAUGUGGCUUAAUUCGAGGCUACGCGAAGAACCUUAUCCUGGACUUG